rnacentral:lncRNA from 1 species
UAAAAGAUCCUUUUUUCUUUUUGUUGUUUUGUUUUUGUUUUUGAUUCAUCUAACUACAGAGGUAGAGUAGGCCUAGCACUCCGGAAAUAAGAAUCAGCUUUUCCUGAAGCAAAUGGUUUGGAUAAGGAUGAGGGGACACCUAAAUUAAGAAAUAGGUACUAGGUUUGUAAAAUGUAAAAUAAAGCCAAAAGUACCUAUCUCCCAGGAUUUGGGGUAGACUAAAGGGUUCAUGUAUAAACUGCCUAAAUCAGUAUGGAUACCUUUUUAAAAAAUAUUUUAUUUUAUUUAUCCAUGAGAGACACACAGAGAGAGACAGAGACACAGGCAGAGGGAGAAGCAGGCUCCUUGCAGGGAGCCGGAUGAGGGACUCUAUCCCAGGACCCUCACACCCUGACACCCUGGGAUCACACCCUGAGCCAAAUGCAGACUCCACUACUGAGCCACCCAAGCACCCCUCACUAUGGUUACUUAAUAACUGUAGCUGCUAUGUUUAUGGUUUCCAACAAAUUUAAACUUUUUAAGAGUAGACACUGAGUAGUGUAUAUCUUUAUAUCCUUUUUGGUGCUUGGCUUCAUGAUUCACAUGGUUGAAAGUCAACAAAUGCUUGUGAACUAACAACAGCAAUAAUAAAACAUUUGAACAUAAUUCAAAAUGACUGAACCCAGUGAAGUAAUAGUGAUACUUUCAACCACCUUUCUUUGCUUUGUGCCAAGUUUUGAGGACAGAAUAGUGAAAAGGAUUUUAGACCUUGUUCUCAUGGAGAUUUUAAUCUUUGUUGAUUUAACACUUCUGUGAUUUCCCUGAGUCUCCAUUCCAGAGCCAUCCAAAAACUGUGGUUUUUGACAUUUGAGAAAAAGGCAAAGGAUUGCUAAUUCCAUGUGGGAAGCAGUGAAUAAGAUGUUUACUCUUAUUUCUUUAUUUAUAUACUGCCCAUUCCCUAAAGGACAUAGGUAGGUAGGACUCAAUCAGUAGAAGACCCUUGCUAACCUUUAAAAAUCUUUAACAGCAGUAAGAGGAAGUUGUAGAAGUAAAAAAUGUGCUAACAGAGAUUUUAAUUACUGUGGGUUACAGUGUAUUGUGUAUUAUCUCUGUGAGGCCUGAGGUGUUGAUUUCUGCCCAAACUGGAGAGGAACAGUUGCUUUGGAGGAUUAGCUGAUGUAAUCUAAUGUAGUCAUAUGAUUUUCUGCUAUUAAUAAUCAAGUGUCUGGGAAAGAAUCCUAAAGUAAUUAUUAAAAGUUAGUAAGAUAUGAAAAAUACUGUUAGAGCUGAAUUAAUUGUUUUGAUCUGACCUCAGUUGAUUACAAGGGAAGCUUGUGGGAAAAAAAAGGCCAUAGAAUUUUUUUUAGGUGGUUGGGAAUGCAGUUAUAGCUGAAGAUAUUAGAAAUGCAUUUAAAAUAGUAAGAUGAAAAAAUGGCUAAUUGACUAACAUUUUGACUAUUUUGCUAUAUUUAACCUAUUACAGAUUAAUGAAAAAAAGAAUCAAACAUCCUUUAAUAGCAUUGUCCAAUAUGUCACGGGUUAUUUAAAAAGAAAGUCAUUUUGAGGAAGAAAAGAUAGUUUUCCUUCUUAACAGUGAAAUCGAUAUUGUUCAGGAAUUUUCCAACAUGUCAGAGUUGUUUUCUGCAAUGGUGAAUGAACAUACCUUAUUGUUUCUUCUUUGAUCAGUUGUUUAAAGAUGAAGAAUGGUUAGUUAAUUAUUAUCUCCUUUUUUUUGUACCUGGGGUUUUCUGAAAGUUCAAAUGGGACUUGUACAUAUUAGUCAUUUGUAUAAUUUACCCGGAAGCAAAAUGGACUAUUGAAAUUAGUAAGUCCUAUUGAUGGUUUUAUAAUUGAACUCUUCUCAAAAUGAAUUUGCUCUAAUCAUAAGAAGGACUUAAUAUAAAUUUAAUAAGUUGAAUCCUUACAUUAAAUUGGUAUGUUGAAAGACUGUUUGCUAUCUUGGCAGCAACUACUAUGACUCUUCCCUUCUCUCUAUGAGUUGAUUUACAGUUUGAGUCCAAGGAGAACAUUAGUUGGACACCACUGAAACUGGGAAGUUGAUUCCCCUUGGGAUUCCACUCAGCAUUUUAGCUUACAACACAAUGGAGACAAUACUGAAGUGUCUGGAGGAGAAAUCUAGGAGAAGUAUGACUCACUCUAUUUAUCACAUAGGACCCAUUUUAUUUUAUUUUUUAAACAGAAGUCCCACUAUGAGCAUUGUACUAUACAUACUAUUAACAGUAGUUGCCUAAGAACUUUGUUUAUUUUAAAUUACAACCAGAAGGAGGAAUUAGGGGGGAAAAAGCAAAAGCAUUUUAUUAUACUGCCUUCCAGGGAUAUUUUUUCCAUUAAUCAUUUAUUAAUUUAUCCUCUGACCCUCUGAACUUAUCCUACUCCUGUUCUGCUUUAUUAUCAAAUGGAAUUGAAUUAAUAUAUGUAGGUAGUAUUUUUAAAAAGCUAUUUGAUCAAAAAUUCAAUUUGACAGUAGCAUUAGCCUUGAGCUCAAGCAUCAUGGAUUUAACUACUAGUUAAAACUUAACCGGGGCGGGGGGGAUAUUUCUUGAAGCAAACUGGCAUUUAUCAGGGAAAGCAACUGUACUUAUUUAGGAGUUUUCUGAGAACUCUUGUGACUGAAAAUGAUGUGUUUUAUUUCUGGGUAUGGCUUUGCUGAACUCUUGGGUGGACUUUGCUACAUGCUUCUCCUUAGUUAAACUAAGACUGCCAUUUCUCUCUUAAAAUAGCACUAUCUUCCUUUUAGUCAAAGAGGACUAAGUGAGCUGUAAUGAUUUCACUUGUUUUGAUGGUUGUAACAUCAGCAGGUGUCACUGGCAUAGUGGCAGUGGGGUCAUUUUUAAGCUUAUGAUUCUGGAGAAGAGGCAAGAAGUAUGAGGACGAUCAUAAUUCUAAAAGGAAUAUUUGCAAUUCUACUUUGUAUCUAAUUUUUAACUGGCCUAGAACCAACCAGGAGUAUAAGUCUCAUGGAUCAAUUUGGCCAAACUUUAAAACUAUGUGCCUUUUUUUCUCUACCACCACGCCUCCUUGCAACUAAAUGAUUCCACUUUUUCUGAAUUGUUUCCCCAGGCAUUAGUUAUUGUAUUGACUCAGGAUUUGGUUAGCCUGUAAAUAGUCAGGGACGAUUUUAUUAGCUGGAACUAUGCUAGCCAACAAAUUUUUGCGGGUUGAGUGGACUUCUAAAGCUUAAGCUCUUUUAUUUGUCAUUUAGUUAUAGUCCGUUAUAAAUUUGGGAUCACAGAUUUCAGUCCAAGGACGACAUUUUCAUGAUAUCUGGUGUCUUGGAUCUUUUCUGAUAAGUUACCUUGCUAGGCUUUUCACCAAAAAUAUGGGAUGCAGAGGGAUUUGUCUUGAAUCCUCAGAAAGGCAGUAUGAUCUUCUCAAAGUGUAAGUCAUAUCUUGAUGUCAUUAGCAUGGACGGCCCACCUAAUUAAAUAGGAAAAAUAGUCCCAUGGGUGUAUAUUGAGAUAGCAGAAAGGUAAUCAGCUGGUACCAGUUGCUUCCUAAUUGUAAUUGGUCUAAUUGCAAAGAACAUUUUUGGUAGUUUUAAACAAAUGAUGUGAUGGUCCCAAUUGAUUUAUGACAAAGUAGUCGACUUAUAAUUUGCAUUAUUAGUGACCUGCCCCUUUCCAUUUUUUACAUUCUAUGGGUGAUUGUGAGAUCUUUGGUAUAUAUGUAACAGCAGCAAUUGUGGGAGGCCUAGAGUUCAAUGGAAACAUAUGCAUUAGAUGGGUUUGUGUUAAUACUUUUUAGGAAGAUCUGGACCAGAUAAGAAAUUCCUCAGUUGGUGGUGUUGGUAGCUAUGGCAAUUGUCUGUUGCAAUUGUCUUUUUAUUUCUGUAAAUUUCCUACUUCUGAAUUAGCUAUCCAAUGGCAAUGGAUACCUAGAUUAUAAAAUCUUUAGUAUAUUUGCAUUGGAAAGUACAAAUCCAUGGAUUAUAUGUUCUGGAAUUUAAGGACAGCAUUAGGGGUUUGAAACACUUGAAAUGAUCCUGUUUUCAAUACAGUUCUAAAACUGACUUUCACUGGUGUUUUCCCCUAUAUAACUAGUCCACUGGUUGUGUAUUAUAUAAGGGGUGUUCAGUGGUACCUCUUUAGGAAAUACAAUUUGCAUCUGUUGGAUAUGAUUGUAUAUGAUACUAGGUUUUGAAAGCACCUGACAAGAUCAAGAUAUGGUAAGGAUAAUGUUGGGCAGUUGGAAAAUGAGAAUUUAUGGAGAUUUUGUGUUGCACAUUAUAUCAUAAUUAAGGCUAGGAUAGAACUUUAAGAUAAGGAGCAUUAAGUUCUUCUGUAAAUAUUAACUGUCCAAUUUUAAAUACCAUUAGUUCAUAACCUUUAAACACAGUGCUUUCAUUCUAUGCCAUCAGUUCAAGACAACAAAACUUCAACCUCCGCUGUCAAAUCCAAAACAACUUACCCAAAAUCCAAAAAACAAAACCUUGAACCUUGAACAUUCCUUAACUUUUUCUUGUUUGUAUAGUAUGGGUGUGGAAAUUCUGGAACCAUUUUGCAUGUACAGUAGGAAUGGGAAACUGAGUUAAUGUAAUCUUAUUUUGGGGAACCAGGCUUGCCUUUCUGUGGCAGAAGAGAGAUACAAAUAUGGAAUUUGGGAAGGUAGAAAAGAAUAUUGUGGUAUUAGGUUGGAAUUAUAUAUAUAAGAAUUCAUAGUGUAAAAAUACACA